GGCGGGGUAACGGCCCACCAAGGCUAUGACGGGUAGGGGGUGUGAGAGCACGACCCCCAACGAGGGAACUGAGACACGGUCCCUACUCCUACGGGAGGCUGCAGUCGAGAAUCUUCGACAAUGGGCGAAAGCCUGAUCGAGCGACGCCGCGUGCGGGAUGAAGGCCUUCGGGUCGUAAACCGCUUUUGCCGGGGACGAAUUUCUGACGGUACCCGGCGAAUAAGAGGUUGCUAACUCUGUGCCAGCAGCAGCGGUAAUACAGAGACCUCAAGCGUUAUCCGGAUUCAUUGGGCGUAAAGCGUCUGUAGGGGGUUCGAUUAGUCUCCCGUUAAAGCACGGGGCCUAACUCCGUAAAUGCGGGGGAAACGGUCGAACUCGAGUGCGCAAGAGGCAAGCGGAACUCACGGUGUAGCAGUGAAAUGCGUUGAUAUCGUGGGGAACACCAAAGGCGAAGGCAGCUUGCUGGGGCGCCACUGACCCUGAGAGACGAAAGCGUGGGUAGCGAAUGGGAUUAGAUACCCCAGUAGUCCACGCCCUAAACGAUGCUGACCAGCUAUGUAGAGUAUCGACCCUCUACGUGGCGAAGCUAACGCGUUAAGUCAGCCGCCUGGGAAGUACGAUCGCAAGAUUAAAACUCAAAGGAAUAGACGGGAGCUCGCACAAGCGGUGGAACAUGUGGUUCAAUUCGACACAAAGCGAGGAACCUUACCAGGGCUUAAAAUGGACCUGAAGAUUUUCCGAAAGGAGGGUCGUCUUACAAGGACAGGUUCACAGGCGCUGCAUGGUUGUCGUCAGCUCGUGCCUUGAGGUGUUCCGUUAAGUCGGGAAACGAGCGCAACCCCCAUUGUCUGUUACAAGUGUCAGGCGAAACUGCCCUCUUUAAGAGGGAGGAAGGUGGGGAUGACGUCAAAUCAGCAUGGCCCUCUGAUGUCCUGGGCUACACACGUGUUACAAUGGCCGGUACAAAGGGUCGCCAACCCGCAAGGGGGAGCCAAUCCCAUCAAAACCGGUCCCAGUCCGGAUCGAGGUCUGCAACCCGACCUCGUGAAGCCGGAAUCGCUAGUAAACGCCAAUCAGCCUCGUGGCGUUGAAUACGUUCUCGAGCUUUGUACUCACCGCCCGUCAAGUCAAGGGAGUCGGUAAUGCCCGAAGAUCACCCUCGUGGUGGGCUAAGGCAAGAUCGAUGACAGGGGCUAAGUCGUAACAAGGCAUCGGUAGCGGAAGCUGUCGAUG
rnacentral:rRNA from 1 species